CUGAGAGAGAGAGUGGGACUUUCGCUCUCUAUUUCCACUUGAGUCAUCAGAGUCCGUUUUUGGCGUUCAGGUCCUUCCAACGGGCGCCAGUAGUAGUGGGCAAACGAGCGAGCAGCAGCAAGGACUCUUCAAUUCUGGAUCAGUUAUUCAAUCAAACUGAGCUGUUUUUCUUCGUUUUUCCUUUUUCUGCCCUCACCCACACCUUUUUCCUGGCAAAAGCUAGUGCGUGUUUCGCUGUGUGUGAUUCUAGGGACUUUUCCAGACUUUCCGUCCUGUGCGAGCGAGAUCGCGAAAUCAAGCAGUUGUUCUAGCAGCAGGAGGCAGUUGAUGAACAAUAGAGACUUCCGGUGACUGUUUCCAGCAGGAGCAGGGCCGUUUUAUGGAGUAUUCGCUAACAGUGAUGUGAUGCAAGAAGACACCGAGUGUGAUGUGACGCCUACCGGAAUCUAGUAUCACAAAGAAGACAUCUUUCCUCUUUUGACGACUAAGUCGGUCUGUCUGUGUGCGUGUUAAUUCGUGUGGAAAACACGAGGAAGGAUAAGAAAUAAAAAAAAAGCUUUGAUGGUUCCCGUUGUUAUCGUUCGUCGUCCUGGCCGUCAUCGUCGUCUUGUGUGUGAGUGCAGUAGAAUUGUUGUUGUUAUUGCCGUAUAGUAGCUGUAUAUGUUGUGAAAUGAUGAGUGUUUUGUGCAGAGAAGCCACUCUGUAGAUCUAAGUCAGUAGUGCAGAAGAAUAGUGUCGUCAAUAUCGCAAGUUGUUACUCAAACAAGCUGAACAAGCCGUCCGUGUCUAUUGCCGUUGUUCCAGAGCUUUCCAAGCUGAAUUGUGCUCCUGCUAGGUGGAUACGCGCUUCUAGUAGAAUCUCUGUGAAUUACUGAUACUGUGUCUAUGCUUGUAACAACAACACACAAUCUAUACAUCUAUAGUGCUGUAUGUGCUCGAUUAAGUAUUACCUAACCUGCAACAGUCUGUACGAGUGUGUCCUAGGAAUUGCAUAAAAGAAGGAAGACUUCAACAACACUACUCAACAAAAGGAUACACAAAUUGCAGACCGAGAGGAGAGGCAUUUUUCGCAAGAAGAGAUAAACAACGUCGACGACUAACGGCCAACAAAAGCUUGCCAGGAAACGGUGCAAGGAAAAAAAAAACACAAGGAUUAAGUGAAUGUGAAGGGAAGGAAGGAGCAAGGAAAAAUUAUAUACAACAACAAAAGGGGUGCAAAGAGUGAGAGAGGGUAUAAACCAAGAAGAAGAAAAAGAACAGUGUUUUGUGAAGUAAAAAAAGAAGAAGAAAAAGACAAGUGCUCGGAAUAGUGCAAGGAUAAUAACCAAACCAAGCUGCAUUCAAUUGUUGUUAAAAGGGGGGAGAGCUUUUUAUUUCGUUCUUCGAAAGGAAGAAGAGAACAAAACAACCAAGCUGCGGUGGGUUGUGUGUGGUGAAGAACGAGCAGCUGUGUGAAUUGAUGGGGUAAGUU